AGAGUUUGAUCCUGGCUCAGGAUGAACGCUGGCGGCGUGCCUAACACAUGCAAGUCGAACGGAGCCUAAUCAGCAGAAGCGGACAGCUUGCUGGAAGCAGAAGCAGAAAAGGCUUAGUGGCGGACGGGUGAGCAACGCGUGGGUAACCUGGCCCAUACAGGGGGAUAACACUUAGAAAUAGGUGCUAAUACCGCAUAACAACAGAAAGCGCAUGCUUUGUGUUUGAAAACUGAGGUGGUAUGGGAUGGACCCGCGUCUGAUUAGCUGGUUGGCGGGGUAAUGGCCCACCAAGGCGACGAUCAGUAGCCGGCCUGAGAGGGUGGACGGCCACAUUGGGACUGAGACACGGCCCAAACUCCUACGGGAGGCAGCAGUGGGGAAUAUUGCACAAUGGGGGAAACCCUGAUGCAGCGACGCCGCGUGAGUGAAGAAGUAAUUCGUUAUGUAAAGCUCUAUCAGCAGGGAAGAAAAUGACGGUACCUGAUUAAGCAAGCCCCGGCUAACUACGUGCCAGCAGCCGCGGUAAUACGUAGGGGG
rnacentral:rRNA from 1 species